rnacentral:rRNA from 1 species
AUUGAACGCUGGCGGCAGGCCUAACACAUGCAAGUCGAGCGGAUGAAUGGAGCUUACUCCUGGAUUCAGCGGCGGACGGGUGAGUAAUGCCUAGGAAUCUGCCUUGUAGUGGGGGAUAACGUCCGGAAACGGGCGCUAAUACCGCAUACGUCCUGAGGGAGAAAGUGGGGGAUCUUCGGACCUCACGCUAUCAUAUUAGCCUAGGUCCGAUUAGCUAGUUGGUGGGGUAAAGGCUUACAAAGGCGACGAUCCGUAACUGGUAUGAGAGGAUGAUCAGUCACACUGGCACUGAGACACGGCACAGACUCCGACGGGAGGAAGCAGUGGGGAAUAUUGGACAAUGGGCGAAAGCCUGAUCCAGCAAUGCCGGGUGUGUGAAGAAGGUCUUAGGAUUGUAAAGCACUUUAAGUUGGGAGGAAGGGAAGUACGUUAAUACCUUGUUGUUUUGACGGUACCAACAGAAUAAGCACCGGCUAACUUCGUG